rnacentral:rRNA from 1 species
UACGGGGGGGGCAAGCGUUGUUCGGAAUUACUGGGCGUAAAGGGCUCGUAGGCGGCCAACUAAGUCAGACGUGAAAUCCCCAGGCUCAACCUGGGAACUGCGUCUGAUACUGGAUGGCUUGAAUCCGGGAGAGGGAUGCAGAAUUCCAGGUGUAGCGGUGAAAUGCGUAGAUAUCUGGAGGAACAUCGGUGGCGAAGGCGGCAUCCUGGACCGAUAUUGACGCUGAGGCGCGAAAGCCAGGGGAGCAAACGGG